CUUGGUGUUGUUUAAUCCCUUUCAUCCUAGAUGCUUGCAAAGACGUGAUCCAUACUUGUCCUAGCUGCCAUAAAAUGAUUGGCCGCUACAACAGGAUGAAUUGAGACCAAGAAUGGUUUAAUAAUGUUUGAACAAUAAUGUUCAAACUUAUUUAUAGAAAUAUUUCAAGAAACCACUGGCUAACCAUCCUUUAUCAUUUACACUAGUAAAUAUCUAUUAUAAUUAUUUAUAUUGUGCUAAUGUGUUUAUAUGGGCUAUAUUACAGAUUUCAGUAAAAUUUUGCAUGCAUCCCUUGCUCGAUGAACUUUUCAAAUUAUGUUGUAUAUUGAAUUAAAUAAAAAAGGUAAAAAUUAUGCGAUGAAGUUUGUACGGGCAAGUUUUUGCAAUGCUAAAAAUUUGUUUUACAAUACGCUAAAGAAUAAAAGAAAGACGAAGACCUUCUUAAAAGAUUAUGGAAAUGUAUGUAUGUUAAAGAAAAACUCAUCAUAUGUACCAGGAUUAAAAUUUUGUACGGCAGACGCGCGUUUCAUCUGCAAAAUGCUCAUCAGUGACAAUCAGAUCAAAAAAAGAAAAAGGCUAAAUUAAGAACAAGGUUGAAGAGCAUUGAAGACCAAAAACACAGAAUGUUACACCAAAUACAGCUAAGAUAUAUUCAUGGCCGG
rnacentral:lncRNA from 1 species